rnacentral:rRNA from 1 species
UACGAAGGGGGCUAGCGUUGCUCGGAAUCACUGGGCGUAAAGGGUGCGUAGGCGGGUCUUUAAGUCAGGGGUGAAAUCCUGGAGCUCAACUCCAGAACUGCCUUCGAUACUGGGAAACUUGAGUCCGGGAGAGGUGAGUGGAACUGCGAGUGUAGAGGUGAAAUUCGUAGAUAUUCGCAAGAACACCAGUGGCGAAGGCGGCUCACUGGCCCGGUACUGACGCUGAGGUGCGAAAGCGUGGGGAG